GACGGGGGGUGCAAGCGUUGUUCGGAAUUACUGGGCGUAAAGGGCGCGUAGGCGGUCUGUUAAGUUCGGUGUGAAAGCCCCCGGCUCACCUGGGGAACUGCGCCGGAAACCGACAGACUCGAGUACCGGAGAGGAAGGUGGAAUUCCUGGUGUAGCGGUGAAAUGCGUAGAUAUCAGGAGGAACACCGGUGGCGAAGGCGGCCCUCUGGACGGAUACUGACGCUGAGGCGCGAAAGCGUGGGGAUCAAACAGG
rnacentral:rRNA from 1 species